UAACACUUGGGCACAAAUAACAAAUGCAGAAAUGCGACUCCAACUCAAUAUAAUGCUCUUAUUUUUCUUUUUCUUUUUUUCUAGCCAAGUUAUUUCAGUUUUAUAUCACAGAACAAAGUGAACAGAUUGUAAUUCGAAAACGAUGAUAGACCUUAUCCUCCUACCUGAUCCACGACUUUGUGCAGUACCAUUGUCUAUUCUCAUAUGUUUCAACAUACGAAAUGUUGUGCUUGUAAAGGAGCAUGGUCACUUAAGAUUCAAUGCCUGACGCGUGAUGUUUUGUGGUAUUUUUUUAUCUUUUUAAUAGUGAACCACGAGCAAAUUCCACAUGGCACCACCGUAUUUUAACGAUUUCCUAAGCCAGUGACCUAACUCCUCGUAUUUUAUAGUUUCGUAGCAACGCACGGGCAUUGUGCUAGU
rnacentral:lncRNA from 1 species